GACGAACCGUGCGAACGUUGUUCGGAAUCACUGGGCUUAAAGGGCGCGUAGGCGGGUGGUCAAGUCAGGGGUGAAAUCUUUCAGCUCAACUGGAAAACAGCUUCUGAUACUGGCCGUCUUGAGGGGGGUAGGGGCAUGUGGAACUUCCGGUGGAGCGGUGAAAUGCGUUGAUAUUGUGAGGAACGCCGGAGGCGAAAGCGGCGCACUGGAUCUCUUCUGACGCUGAGGCGCGAAAGCUAGGGGAGCAAAAGGG
rnacentral:rRNA from 1 species